GAUCCAGACUUUGAUCAUGGCUCAGGAUGAACGCUGGCGGCGUGCCUAAUACAUGCAAGUCGAACGCACAGCGAAAGGUGGCUUGCACCUUUCAAGUGAGUGGCGAACGGGUGGAGUAACACGUGGACAACCUGCCUCAAGGCUGGGGAUAACAUUUGGAAACAGAUGCUAAUACCGAAUAAAACUUAGUGUCGCAUGACACAAAGUUAAAAGGCGCUUCGGCGUCACCUAGAGAUGGAUCCGCGGUGCAUUAGUUAGUUGGUGGGGUAAAGGCCUACCAAGACAAUGAUGCAUAGCCGAGUUGAGAGACUGAUCGGCCACAUUGGGACUGAGACACGGCCCAAACUCCUACGGGAGGCUGCAGUAGGGAAUCUUCCACAAUGGGCGAAAGCCUGAUGGAGCAACGCCGCGUGUGUGAUGAAGGCUUUCGGGUCGUAAAGCACUGUUGUAUGGGAAGAACAGCUAGAAUAGGAAAUGAUUUUAGUUUGACGGUACCAUACCAGAAAGGGACGGCUAAAUACGUGCCAGCAGCCGCGGUAAUACGUAUGUCCCGAGCGUUAUCCGGAUUUAUUGGGCGUAAAGCGAGCGCAGACGGUUUAUUAAGUCUGAUGUGAAAGCCCGGAGCUCAACUCCGGAAUGGCAUUGGAAACUGGUUAACUUGAGUGCAGUAGAGGUAAGUGGAACUCCAUGUGUAGCGGUGGAAUGCGUAGAUAUAUGGAAGAACACCAGUGGCGAAGGCGGCUUACUGGACUGCAACUGACGUUGAGGCUCGAAAGUGGUGGGUAGCAAACAGGAUUAGAUACCCUGGUAGUCCACACCGUAAACGAUGAACACUAGGUGUUAGGAGGUUUUCCGCCUCUUAGUGCCGAAGCUAACGCAUUAAGUGUUCCGCCUGGGGAGUACGACCGCAAGGUUGCAACUUCAAAUGAAUUGAACGGAAUGG
rnacentral:rRNA from 1 species